rnacentral:rRNA from 1 species
GAUGAACGCUGGCGGCGUGCCUAGUACAUGCAAGUCGAGCGAAUGGAUUAAGAGCUUGCUCUUAUGAAGUUAGCGGCGGACGGGUGAGUAACACGUGGGUAACCUGCCCAUAAGACUGGGAUAACUCCGGGAAACCGGGGCUAAUACCGGAUAAUAUUUUGAACUGCAUGGUUCAAAAUUGAAAGGCGGCUUCGGCUGUCACUUAUGGAUGGACCCGCGUCGCAUUAGCUAGUUAGUGAGGUAACGGCUCACCAAGGCAACGAUGCGUAGCCGGCCUGAGAGGGUGACCGGCAACACUGGGACUGAGCAACGGCCCAGACUCCUACGGGAGGCAGCAGUAGGGAAUCUUCCGCAAUGGACGAAAGUCUGACGGAGCAACGCCGCGUGAGUGAUGAAGGCUUUCGGGUCGUAAAACUCUGUUGUUAGGGAAGAACAAGUGCUAGUUGAAUAAGCUGGCACCUUGACGGUACCUAACCAGAAAGCCACGGCUAACUACGUGCCAGCCGCCGCAGUAA